GUUUCAGUUUUGCAAGAUGAGAAACUUCUGAGGUUGGUUGGGCAAGAAUGCACUGUUUGGUACUUCAAGACUAUGAAAGAUUUUAUUUUCUCAGGAAAUGCGUUGUUCACCGUGGAUCUAAUAGAAUAAGCUCGUUGUCUGAAAAGGUUGGACACAAGCUACAAAUCAUAUAAGCUCCACAAAAUAUAACAGUAUUUUGCAAAGCAAAAACACAUUCAGCGGGAAGAAUGGCAUUGUUUUACAUUUUGCCAAUCUCUUUGAUGUCUGGCCUAACAAAAGGCAGUUGGAUUCAACAAUCUGCUUCUGCAUUGACACCAAUUGCCACGUGUUGUUUUUGUUGAAGUACAUAGAUGAAGAAAACCCUGCCUCACCCAGAUUGGUGGUUGGAAAAGGAAGGACCCGACAUAACCCUCCGAAAGAUUUCUGGGCUCACGGCGAUCCUCUGCCUACACUUUAAGAAUCACGGACUAUAAGUACUGGUCUAUCUUUUCAUGCUACAGUUUCCUUUUUGUAAACAUAUGGUGAUAAUAAUAGUAUUUCAAAGUAUUCUGAAAUUAUAACAUGAAAACUGCUAUAGUGGCAGGCAGAAAUCUACACCUGUUCAUAAAAUAGGAAAACGCUUUCUCUGGGGCAUUUAGGAGACAUGUAACUAUCCAAAGUAAGGUGGUUACUAAAGCAAUAGAUAUUUCCAAUAGAUAUGUGGGUUUCACAUUUCAUCACUGCAACCAAAAACUAGGAGUUUUCUAAAGAAAGUUUUAAAGUUUCUUAUGUGGCUUUGGUAAAGAAACAUUUUUUUUUUUUUUUUGUCCAGGGGUAAGAUAAGAAUUCUGGCUCACUUUUAAAGUGGAGAUAUAUUUCUCUGAAACCCAUUGCAUAGUUAUCUUGGCAUUCUUUGAUAUAAAAUGUACUCAUGUGUCUCGUUUUAGCUUAGGUCAAGGGUGGAACUAAUCCCUAUUGGACCUUUUAAAGGCAGAAUGUGAGUUUCUCAUGACAGACCUCAUAAUGGGUUCUGUGCACUGCAACCGAUCAGAUAUGAGCUAGAAUGCUUGUAAUAUACAUACUCUGCAGUGAGCUUGAUUGCAUGCACUCUGUGCAGCUUAAACCUGGGGAUGACUCACAAGGCCAAUUUACAGCAGCACACAUUCUGUUUCAUCUGAAGCAGCGACUCAGCUUGGGAAGGUGGGAAGGUAGGACCUGGGGGGCAGGAUGACACAGAACCCUCUGUCCUUGAUCCCCACCCCAGAGGUCAAGGGGAUUGUCCACCCCCUGCCCCCUCCCCCCCCAGGAGAACCACACUCUAGUUCGGUGGUUGCUUUGAGGGCCAGGCAUGGGGUGGGGCAUAGAUGUUUUCCUCCGAUCUGCCGCCAAUAUGGAUUGUAUCUCAACGUAGCAUCUUAUGGUGAUUGAGGAGUGGUUGCAGCCCGGAUUUCAGAGAGCAUGAGUUGAGUCAGCAUUUGGCAAAUGGAGAUAACGGCUGGGUGAGGACAAAGUGAGAAAGGAUAAGAAAGUGUUUUUGAAAAUGUGUCAGGUGCAAAAAUUGUUAUUAUUGUUCUUAAGCGAGGAAACCGUAAACCUAGUAAACUGAGUAAACCGUAAACCUAGUAAACUGUCCUAGGGUGAGGAACUACGGUGAACAGGGACACACCAGGCCUGAGGGGGUUCUUUGCUUUUCUUCUAGCAGGUCAGGGAAAAGAAUGUGCUGGAUCCUUCCCAGAUCUUCUUGUUAUGCUAAUCCUCUCCGUGGAGCUCCUGAAGGGAACUGGCUAAAAAGCCACUUGUUGAUCCCCUAACCCUCCCUUAAGUCACAGAUGAAAGGGACAGUCUGGUGCUGAAUACUUUUAUUUCCCUAAAUAAUCUGGUUACUGUUCUGCCAAAACUGAUUGUAGCCUUCAUUGUCAAUGACUUUACUUUUCAACUUCUUUGACAUCUGAAAGUAGCUGAAAAAAUCAUGGAAUAUACUCAUUGUGACAAUAUUAAAUACUUAAGUGUGCACGUCCAGUGUUUAAAAAGUCCUCUAUUAGUUAUUUUUUUCAGUUUUUAAAGUAAGCCUUGGCACUGAAAUAAUUUUGGAAUUUAGCUAUUGGUUCUUGAAUGAAACCUUAACUUAUUUGUGUUUAAUUAGACUUCAAUUGCUUCACUUAAAAAAGGUCACCUAAAUUUGGAAAAGACAACUGCUUUUAAUUGUGACUAUCUCACGCUUGCUGAAUUUUCUCAGAAAGGUUAAAUUACUUUUUUCUAUUUACUAAGGAACAUUUCUGCAUACUUCCACCACAACGGCACACCCAAAAUAUCUGGGGUUCUAAAGGAAUGAGGCAAUCAUAUUUUAAUGGAUUAGGCUUUGAUUCCUUGUGACUGCAGCAUUAUCAGCUUGCCAUAUGCAACUAUUUUAGAUUAUACACACCAAAUUCGCUUUGCUGCAAUAAUGGAACUGUUUAUCGUGAGUCUAUUAUUGGUGUUGCAGGUUGAAUAGGAAAAUGUCUACAAAACACUUAGAAUUUCUAGAGAUAGCCGGGUCAUGAACUGAAGUGACUUUAUUUCUAGAGAGCUAGGGUAGGAUAAACUGAGUGACUGAGGGAGAGGGUUCAAUAGGAAUCAAGGUGGAGAGAAAAGACAAAUACCAUAUGAUUUCACUCAUAUGUGAAAAUUUCUUUUUAAGAUUUUAUUUGUCAGACAGAGGGACAGCACAAGCAGGGAAAGCAUCAGACUCCCCACUGUGCAAGAAAC